rnacentral:rRNA from 1 species
CGCAAGCCUGACGGAGCAAGACCGCGUGCGGGAUGACGGCCUAAUGGUUGUAAACCGCUUUUCUCUGGGAAGAAGACUGACGGUACCAGAGGAAUCAGCCUCGGCUAACUCCGUGCCAGCAGCCGCGGUAAUACGGAGGAGGCAAGCGUUAUCCGGAAUUAUUGGGCGUAAAGCGUCCGUAGGUGGUUAUUCAAGUCUGCUGUCAAAGCGUGGGGCUUAACUCCAUAGAGGCAGUGGAAACUGGAUGACUUGAGUGCGGUAGGGGUCGAGGGAAUUCCCAGUGUAGCGGUGAAAUGCGUAGAUAUUGGGAAGAACACCAGUGGCGAAAGCGCUCUACUGGGUCGCACCUGACCCUCAGGGACGAAAGCUAAGGUAGCG